AGCAAAGAGGAAAAAGGGAAUAGGGGACAGCAGAGAACACAAAAAGAGGGCGGGUAAAAAUGGGGUACAGGGAUAGAAGAAAGGGGAC